UACGUAGGGUGCGAGCGUUAAUCGGAAUUACUGGGCGUAAAGCGUGCGCAGGCGGUUCGUUGUGUCGGCGGUGAAAGCCCCGGGCUCAACCUGGGAAUGGCAAUGGAUACUGGCAAGCUAGAGUGCGGUAGAGGGUAGUGGAAUUCCCGGUGUAGCGGUGAAAUGCGUAGAGAUCGGGAGGAACACCAGUGGCGAAGGCGGCUACCUGGACCAGCACUGACGCUCAUGCACGAAAGCGUGGGGAGCAAACAGG
rnacentral:rRNA from 1 species